rnacentral:sRNA from 1 species
ACCCCAGGAUGUGAUGAGUCGACA